rnacentral:tRNA from 1 species
AAAAUAACCGGCUAAUGCAACAAUGUUAGUCAAAAUUUAUGCAAAAUAAACUAAUGAUUCUGUUUAGUUAAUAUAUGUUUUUAGCGUUCGGGACGCUAGGGUCGGAGGUUCAAAUCCUCUCGUCCCGACCA